rnacentral:misc_RNA from 1 species
GGAAAAAGAAAAAUAGAAAAUCCAACUAAGAAAGAGUAAAAUAAAGACAAAUAUCCAAAGAUCCCUAGUGCACAUAGCAAGGUACCACAAGGGGCCCAGGCGUGCAUCUUAGGAUGACACCCAGCUAAAAGACCACAAGAGGGGCUUCAACUUGAGCCUGAGUAAGGUGGCAUGGAGCCUAGGCAUGUCUGGGUUGCAAUUUUGACAACUAUGGUUUGAGGCAAUGAAAUGAAGAAAUACUUGAAAAGCAUCAAUAAGAUUUACCUCCUUUCUCAAUUUGAC